rnacentral:rRNA from 1 species
UGGGGAAUAUUGCACAAUGGGCGCAAGCCUGAUGCAGCAAUGCCGCGUGAGUGAAGACGGCCUUAGGGUUGUAAAACUCUUUCGCUAGGGAAGAUAAUGACGGUACCUAGUAAAGAAGUCCCGGCUAACUCCGUGCCAGCAGCCGCGGUAAUACGGAGGGGACUAGCGUUGUUCGGAAUUACUGGGCGUAAAGAGUUCGUAGGCGGACUAGCAAGUUAGAGGUGAAAUCCCAGGGCUCAACCUUGGAACUGCCUUUAAAACUGCUAGUCUAGAGACCGGAAGAGGUUAGGGGAAUACCUAGUGUAGAGGUGAAAUUCGUAGAUAUUAGGUGGAACACCAGUGGCGAAGGCGCCUAACUGGUCCGGUACUGACGCUGAGGAACGAAAGCGUGGGGAGCAAACAGGAUUAGAUACCCUGGUAGUCCACGCCGUAAACGAUGAGUGCUAGAUGUUGGGAUUUUCGGAUUUCAGUGUCGCAGCUAACGCAUUAAGCACUCCGCCUGGGGAGUACGGCCGC